rnacentral:rRNA from 1 species
CCUACGGGUGGCAGCAGUGAGGAAUAUUGGUCAAUGGACGCGAGUCUGAACCAGCCAUGCAGCGUGCAGGAUGACUGCUCUAUGGGUUGUAAACUUCUUUUAUAUGGGAAUAAAUCCCGGUACGCAUAUCCUCUUGUAUGUAUCAUAUGAAUAAGGAUCGGCUAACUCCGUGCCAGCAGCCGCGGUAAUACGGAGGGUGCGAGCGUUAUCCGGAUUCACUGGGUUUAAAGGGAGCGUAGGCGGCCUGGUAAGUCUGUUGUGAAAGCCUGCGGCUCAACCCUGAAACUGCAGUGGAAACUGGCAGUCUGGAGUGCGGGAGAGGUGGGCGGAAUUCGUGGUGUAGCGGUGAAAUGCGUAGAUAUCACGAAGAACUCCGGUGGCGAAGGCAGCUCGCUGGACUGCGACUGACGCUGAUGCUCGAAAGUGUGGGUAUCGAACAGGAUUAGAUACCCGAGUAGUC